UCAGCCCAGCUAUAUAUAGAUAAUCGAUACGAGAUGCAAAGGCAAACAAUACGGGGAAAGCGGGGUUCUGAAUAGCGCCUUAAAUAACACAAAGUCCUUUGUCUCCUGUUGAAAUUAAAAGACCAACAUGACGUGGCGUCCAUUAGGUGAUUCCGCGACGUACAUGCAACUAAACGAGAAGUCCUUAAUGCAGACCAUUGUCUUCUGGGCUCCUGUGGGAUGGAGUGGCGAGGAAACAAAUGCCUGAGCGUUAUUAACUACGCAGCCCUGAGGACAGAAAACGGAUGCCAAAACAUCAGGACACCCGAAGCAGAACACAGCAGAAUAAAUAUAAAUACACGUCAUUCCUUCGUCAUGUAUGUUGGAAAGUGCAUUCAAAUGUUACACAAAUAAAUAAAUACAAAAACAAAAUAUAAAUCGAAGGUAAACUAAA